rnacentral:lncRNA from 1 species
AAACGACCGUCUCCGCUGCCAUGAGAUGCCGACAGCCUGUGCGCUGGCCGCCACCCCCUGCUCCAUCAGGUGCUGGAAUCUGAGUAAAAGCCUGGGCGCGAGCUCCCAGCCCCGGGGCCUGCCACCGGCUCCACGAAGCGGGCAGCUCCAGCGGCCGCCGGGAGAAGGAAGGGCGACCGGGGGAGACGGGUCGCAGGGACAGCACGUGGCGGAAAGUUAGCCCCGGACUAGCACGCCCCACCCGGAGAAGCCGGCCUGGAAGGGGCUGCGGACCACCAGGCGGAGCGGUGGGCGACCGAAGUGCGGCUGGGCUGGCCUCCUCGUCUCCGCACUGGAAGAAUUGCCCUUCCGCAAGUCUUCCCUUCCCACAUGGGGGCCCUCCAGGCCGCACCUCGGUCGCCCACCGCUUCCCUUGAGAAGGGAGACUAAAGACAGGCAUCUGGAAGCUGUCACUGUGGCGCGCGGGCAGACAGGGGAUCCCAUUGGAGAGGAAGAGCCGUAGUAGUCGCUGCUGCCUUCGGCCGACCCAACGGCCGCCUGCUUGGGAGGAAGAAAAAGAACGCCCCCGCUGAAGAAUUAAGGCAGCCAUUGGUUGCUCUAGGGGGUUACAAGAUGGGCAGUACAAUAGAGGAUGGACUGGAGUUGGAAAAGACUAAAGCAGCAAGUUUGAUAAGGAGGCUACAGCAAUAGUCCAGGUGAAAGACGCAAGAGCCCAAAAUGCAGCAGUGGCCAAGGGAAUGGAUCUGAGAUAAAGUUCAGAAGAUAGAGUUGGCAGGGCAGUUUAUCUUUAAUCCAGGAGAAGAGAAGAAGGCCACAUGAAGAUGGAGCAAGAGAUUGGAGUGAUGUGGCCACAAGCCAAGGAAGCUGAGGAAUGAAGACAGCUAUCAGAAGCUGGAAGAGGAAAAGAAUUCUCUCUUGGGGUCUGCAGAGGGAGAACAGCCCUGCCAACACUUCCAUUUCCAAUGUCUGGACUCUAGAACUGUGAGAAAAUAAAUUCCCAUUAUUUUAAGGAACACAGUUUGUGAUACUGCAUUACAGCAGCUCCAUGAAACAAAUACAUUUUGUUAUUCCAAGUCCUCUUCACAACAAAGUCUUUGCUAGUGGUGAACCAAACACAGUCCCACCAUCAUGAGCCACUGUUCUGGAUGAGGGGGCAACACAGUUCAGACACUGGUCAUCUCUAUUUAAUGUCUAAUGGGCAUCUCAAACCUAACUUUCUCCCAGUGGAAAUGCCUGGAGGUACGUGGAGAUGGAAAGCUGACCUAGCCAAGGAGUUCAGCAAAGAUCCCUGGGAGGAGGUGACAUCUGGACAUCUGCACAGAAUAAUGAGGCUGGGCUAAGGCAGUGACUGAGGGAGGCACUCUUUUUUGGUUUUUCUUUUCUUUUCUUUUGUGUAGGAAGGAAAGAAUAGCCAGGAGAGAUAGAGGAGAAAGAGGAUAAAGAUAGACAGGAAAGAGGUAACACAAGAAGUCAGGACCUGCGCUUGAGGGGCAGAAGUCAAGUCGGGCUAAGGUGAGAAGGCAGAACAGGGUUCAGGGUCUUUGAAGAGAAACAAGUACAGAGCUGGAACUAAGUGAUGCUGACUCCAGACUAAAACCCUCUGGGUUUGAAUCCUGCCUCUGCCACUUACUUAUUCAUUACAAAAUAGCGAGAAAUUACAUUAUCUGGAUCUUGGUCUCUUCAACUAUAAAACAAAAAUAAUAAUAGCUCCUAUCUCAUAGGAUGCUAUUAGGAGUACUAAGUAUAUUAACACCUGUAAAGCACUUGGCUCAAUGUCUGGCACUGCAUAUGCAAUAAAUGUCAUUAUUACUAUUAACAUUAUUAGAAGAAGCAGCAAAUUUAAAAUCAGAAUGUGAGCACUGGAAAGGACUUCAGAAUCAACUAAUCUAAUUCCCCCAUUGUACAAAUGAACAGACUGAGGCCCAGAGAGGUUUGAAAUUGGCCAAAUUUAAGGAGAUAGGAACAGAGCCGAGAUGACAAAAUUGCUUGAAAGUCUGUGCUUUUUCUAGGUGAACUAUACAUAUAUAUUUGGGAAUCAUAAGAAUAUAAGCAGUGAUUGAAUCUGAGGAAAUAGAGUUACUCAGGAAGAACACAAGAAUUAGUACAGAAUGCUGAAAGAAGAAUGAAAAUAGAUUUGAAGUCAACUUGAUUCAAAUAUCCCAAUGUAAUGGUAUUAGGAAGUGGUGCCUUUUUGAGGUAAUUGGGUCAUGAGGGUGGAGUCCUCAUGAGUGGGAUUAGGGCCCUUAUAAGGGGCUGAAGAGACCAGAGUUUUCCCUUCCACCAACUGAAGACUCAUAUAGAAGGUACUAUUUAUGAACCAGAGGGUAGGUCCUCAGCAGACACCAAAUCUGCUGCAACCUUGAUCUUGGACUUCCCAGUCUCCAGAAAUGUGAGAAACAAAUUUCUAUUGUUUAAAAGCCACCCAGUUUAUAGUAUUUUGUUAUAGCAGCCUGAAUGGGCUAAGACACCAUUAAACUUUGAAACUUGGUUUUUCCACAUGUAAAAUCAGGAUACACGUAGAAAACCUGCUGAUGCCUUUAAAAAAUUUUAAACCCAUAUGUUCUAAAGUUGGUAACAGAGGAAGACUUUCCACAAGAUGGAGGAAAGUCUUUUACUCCAGAUCUUAAAAUUAACCUUACUCUUGGGGUAUAAGGUUACUCACACUAAUGUCUGCUGGAGCCACAAUCAGCAAACUGGCUUUAGGGGUACAAAGCAUGGAUUUUACAGUUUCUCUCAUUGCCAUAGUAUGGUUGAGACAGCUUAUAAUAUUUAUGCAAGAUACUACUAAAGAUGGACCCCUCAUGUUGGAGCUGGACAUAGGACUUUUUUCUUCUCUUUCUAGAUUUCUUCCAUAGAUACAUUCAUCUAAUCCCAUAGCUUUAAAAUACCACCUCAAAGCCAAAGACUCAAAUUUAUACCUCUAGCUCUGACCUACUCCUGAGCUCCAGACUUAUAUGUCCAAUUGCUUGCUCUAGAUUAUUACUUAGAUAUCUAAUGGUCAUUCAAAUAUAACAUUUCCAAAAUGGGAUGCUUGACUUCCUGCUCCCAAACCAGUUCUUCCUGCAAUAUUCUCAAUCUUGGUAAACUUAUAUCCAAUUGAUAUAGUUUGGAUAUCUGUACCCACCCAAAUCUCAGGUUGAAUUGUAAUCCCCAGUGCUGGAGGUGGGGGCCGGUGGGAGGUGAUUGGAUCACGGGAUGGAUCUCUCAUGGCUUGGUGCCGUCUUCAUGAUAGUGAGUAAGUUCUCGCGAGAUCUGGUCAUUUAAAGGUUGUGUGUACCCCCCUCACCCUCCCUCUCUCUUGCUCCUGCUUUUGCCACUUGAGGUGCCUGCUCCCCUUUAGCCUUCCACCAUGAUAGGAAGCUUCCUGGGGCCUCCCUAGAAGCCAAGCAGAUGCCAGCAUCAUGCUUCCUGUAAAGCCUACAGAACUGUGAGCCAAUUAAACUUCUUUUUCUUAUAAAUUAUCCAGUUUCAGGUAUUUCUUUAUAGCAAUGUAAGAACAGCCUAAGAAAUCAAUCCAUCAGCAAACUCUCUUAGUUCUACCUCUGGAACAUUUUGCGAAUCUCAAUCUUUCUCCACAUCUGAUGCCUUAAUAUUCCAAGCCACUGCCAUCUCUUACCUCCCCUUCUGUGGUAGUUUCUCAGCUGGAUUUUCUGUUCCUACUUUAAUAUCCCCUACAAUCUACUCUCCACACAGCAGCCAGAUGGUCUGUUUACUACAUAAAUUAUGUGUCACUCUCUUGGUUAUAAACUUCUAAUGGCUUCCCAUCACACUUAGAUUGAAACUCUAACCCCAUUAGGCCCUGCAAGACCCAGAUCCUGCUUACUGUCUGACCUCACCCCACACUUUCCUUGCUCAUCAUGCUCCAGAUUCGAGGCUGGAUUGCUUUCUGUUCCUCAAACACACCAAGCUCCUUUCUCUUUCUAUCUAUCUAUCUAUCUAUCUAUCUAUCUAUCUAUCUAUCUAUCUAUCUACCUAAUCUAUCUAUCUUUAUCACAAGAAUCAGAGGUGAAACCAUGCUCAUUUCUGAUGUAACCUCAGCAGUUCCCUCUGUCUGGAAGGCUCAUUCCAUCCUGUUCCCUCCUCCCCAUCUUCACUUGGCUGCAUUCUUCUCAUCGUUGUGGUCUCUGCUUAUUUUUAUGUUCUAACAAAGGCCUUCCCUGCCUGUCCUUGCUAGAAUAGCUCUCUAGUCAGCCUCUAUCAUAUCAGCUGGCUUUUGCAUCUGAGCAUUUAUUGCUACUGAUAUUUCCUUGUUUAUUUUCUGUCUAUUGUCUGUUUCUUUCUCACUAGAAUGUAAACUUUCUGAGAGCAGUGAUUCUAUCUGUUUGGUUUACCACUGUGUUCCCAGCCUCAGAAAAGUGCAUAUACCUGGUGGGCCCUCAAUUAAUAUUUGAUGAAUAAAUAAAUAAAGGUUCAAAUAAGAGAAGGGAAGUAAAUGCAGGAAGCACCAUAUCAUUAGAUUGUCUGGCACAUAAAUUAGAAUCCCCAACUUCAGCUUGUAGUUCAGCAUGAAAAUGCAUUUCCCUUGCUAUGUCAGAAUGUCUAGACUUGUGGAAAUCCAAACCUGAACAAAGGACAGUGAGGACAGAGGGUUGGCAAGCCCCCUGGUUUUCUCUCCUGCAUUUCUACAUUCUACCUUUGCUACGGUUUCACCUGGGUGUUAGUCCAUUUUGCAUUGUUAUAAAGGAAUACCUGAGACUGGGUAAUUUAUAAAGAAAAGAGGUUUAUUAGGCUCGUGGUUCUGCAGGCUGUACAAGACACAUGGUGCCAGCAUCUGCUCAGCUUCUGGUGAGGCCUCAGGAGCCUUUACUCAUGGCAGAAGGCAAAGGAAGCCAGUGUGUCACAUGGUGAGAAAGGAAGCAAGAGAGAGGGAAGGUGAUGCCAGGCUCUUUUUAACAGUCAGUUCUGGUGUGAACCCAUAGAGCAAGAACUUUCUCAUUACCAUGAGAAAGGCACCAAGCCAUUCAUUAGGAAUCUACCCCUAUGACACACACACCUCCCAGAGGCCCCACCUCCAACACUGGGGAUCGAAUUUCAACAUUAGACUUCGAGGGGACAAACAUCCAAACUAUAUCACCUGGGGAUCUACCCACUGACCUGGAUGAUUAACACUGGGCAGUUCCACCUUCCUGAGUGGUGAUAUCACUCCACAUCCACAGUAGAGGUUUGGAUGGAAGGCAAAGAAUAAGCUCAUCAGAACAUCCUACAAGAAAUACAGACUUAUUAAUAGCAAGGAGAGCUGCUUUCUGCAAGAUAAUUGAGUUAGUUUGUUCAGGCUGUUUUAACAUAAUACCAUAGACUUGGUGGCUUAAACAACAAACAUUUAUCCCUCAUAGUUCUGGAGGCUGAGAAGUACAAGAUCGAGAUGUUGGCAGAUUUGGUGUCUAGGGAAGGCCCACUUCUUGGCUCAUAGACAGCUGUCUUGUCACUGUGCCUUCACAUGGCAGAAAGGGGUGGGGGAACUCUGUGGGUUCUCUUUUAUAAGGGUACAAAGCCUAUUCAUAAGGGCUCCACCUUCAUAAGCUAAUUACUUCCCAAAGGCCCCAUCUCCUGAUACCAUCACAUUGGGGGUUAGGAUGUACAACAUGUGAAUUUAGAGGAUCACAAACAUUUCAUCCAUAACAGUAAUGAUCUCUGUUCUACACACUUCCCAUACUUGUUCUGAUGAUCUGAUAAAGAAGUGUGGUCUGGAACAUGACCCACAUGUGUAAAUCACUACAUUAUUACACUAUUUGCUCCUCAUCACUAUGUGUUGAUGAGGAGCAGAGCAAAUACUCCUGGCAGAAUGCCAUCAGUGUUCCUCAUACCACAGUACUAAGGACUUAGACAAUUUUUGUUGUCCUCUCCAUCCUAGAUAACUCUGUAUCCCUGUAUAAGACUCAUUCAACACCUGGUCUCACCAUUCUAUGGUAUCGUCAUCUUCAAUAUGCCUCUCCCCUCCACCAUGCUUCAUUCAUGUGGUCACACUCUGAACCUUGUCAUCACUCCCAAACUAUUCCACUUUGGAAACCUCAAGCCUCAAGACCUGGGAAUAACUGAUGUUCUGCUCACAAUGUCCUAACCCUCUAGCUCUCAUAUUCACUUACUCCCCUUGUGCCUGCUUUUCAACCCCACCAAGACUUCCUCAAACCUUUUCUCCCUAUCUCUUAGGCCCCUUCUGAGCUGACUUCCUUCACUAUUCAUCCAUACCACUUCCUUCUUCCAAAAUCUUAAUUUUCAUGCCCCCACCUGCCAACCCUCAACUCUGGAACAGUCUAGCGCCUGCCUUUCCUGUUUCUAAACACCCAGGGUACUGUGCCCUCAUGGAGAAAAUAACAGAGUGGUUUGAUCUGGUGACACCAUAAACUUUCAAAAUAAGUUGUUUCCUUUGGCCAAAUGGCAAUCCUAUAUGCUUCUCCCAAUUGCCCUAACUGAUGCAUGAACUUUAUUCAUGCUUCUUUCUCUCUCAUACAUAUUCAUACUCAGUGAAUGGCAUCCUUUUCUAUACCAUGAGGAAAAUGGAGGUCUUCACGCAUAAAACCUCUCAGCUUUCUGCUCUCCAUGUGCAAAUAAAGUGAAUGUAUAUCUACAGCUAUGGCCAAGAUGAACUGCUGUUAACCAGAAUCUAUUCCUCCCUUCCUCCUGGACAUGCAGCUCCGCUACAUUUCUCAACCUCCCUUGCAGUUAGGUGUAUCAUGUGAUGAAAUUUUUUGCCAUUGGAAUUUGAGCAUUAGUAUUGUCUACCACUUCCAUGCCUGGUCUAUAAAAAUGUUUCACGUGCACAUCACCGUGAUCUUUCCCCUUCUGGCAAGCUGUUUGAUGAUAUGAAAACCAUGUGUUAAAGAUGGCAGAGCUGCCAUCAGCUUUGUUCCUUAAAUAACUGCAUGGGAAGUAGCUGCCUGCCUGUCUUUAAAAACUGCCCUAAAAAUGAUGUAAGUGAGAAAUAAACUUUAUUUUUGAGUCAUUACGAGUUAAGGUUUAUUUUUAUAGCAGGUUAGCCUAUGCUAAUGAAUACAAUAGCUAUUUUUCCUCUCUCAGUUCUUAAUGGGAAAAAUGGCUCUCCUCUCUCCUGUCCCAGGGAAUCCCUCUACCUGAACUCUGGACUCCAACCCCACCCCAAGCCCUGUUUCAUCAAUUAUUUACUCUCUCCUCUAGGUCUCAACUUAUCCUCUCCUGGCUCUUUUCCCUCAGCACACAGACAUGCUCAUAUCUCUUCUAACAACUAUACAAAACAAAUCUUACAUUACAUGAUCUGAUAUUCUCCUUGUCUAGAAUUCUCUUUUCUCCUUCCUUUCAUGCUCAAGGCUUUUUUCAUCCCAUUCUCUACCCCACUUACUCUAUGACCUGGUCUCUGUCCCUACCACCGUUGUGAAACUGCUCCAGAUUGGGCCCCAGUGGCCUAACAGGCUAUGGUCAUAUUUCACGUCUUAUCUAACUUGGCAUCUUGGCAUAGAAAGCUGUUCUUCCUCCUUCCUUGGUGCUCCUCUUCCCCUCCAGCUGCUCCUUCUAAGUCUCCCUGACAGGUUUCUUUUCCUCUCUCUUUGGUAAAUGUGGAUUCACCCUCUACCCUCAUUUCUUCCCACUGCCUAUAUAUCUCUUUCUAAACAAUUUUGUUAUUGCCUGUGGUUUAAAUGACCAUUAUUUAUAGAUGCUAAUGCCACACAUCCUUGAGCCUUGAACCUAUAUUACCAACUGCCUCCUAGAUAUUUCUAUCUUUAUGGCCCAUAGGCACCUCAAACUUAAUAUGUCCAAACUGAAUUGAUCAUCUUUCCCAUUUCCAACAACGACUGCUUUUAUAUUUUCUACUGAGGCGGAUGGUAACAAUUGUCCAUGGGUAACAGUCAUCCACUAACCCUCUGAGCUGACUUCCUUCACUAUCCAUUCAUACCACUACACUCUUCCACAAGCUUAAUUUGUAUGCCCUAACCUGCCAACCCUCAACCUGGAACAGUUCAGUGCCUGCCUUCCCUGUUUCUAACCCCCCAGGGUAUACUGUUCCCUAAUGGAGAAAAACACACAGUGGUUGGUCGGGUGGCACUAUAUCCAGGCACUCAAGCUAGACACAUGGGAGUAAGCCAACCUGGUCUCUCAUCCUCAGACUACUCUGGCUCCAAAUCCUAUUACAUGUAUCUACUGAACACUUCUCCAAUACAUCUGUUCGUCUCCCUUUCUUGGCCACUGCUGAGCUCAGACCUUUUUCAUCACUUUCUUAGAUCAUCUCAGUAACUUCUGGACUAUUCUUCCUGUGGGCAGCCUCACCUUCCUCCUACAGCCUAAAGACUUGAUAUUGUCUCUUUCUUUGUUGAUAUUCAUUUAUGGGAUUCUUUUCGUUAGUGUCUUUUUCAAACUAAAAAGUAAUAUAUUCUCAUUGUAAAAUAGUUUAUAAGGCUAUUUAAAAAAAUUAAAGUCACCCCGUAUCCAGUCCUUAAAUUUUACCCCCAAAUACAUAUACACAUAGUUUUUUUCUAAAAAUAGGAUCUUAUUACACAUGCCAUAUUUCUCUAUGCCAUAUUCUAUUUUAGGAGGAACUUUUUUCCAUAUUUUAACAUCUCUAAAAUCACAAUGUGUCAUACAAUCAAUGGUUCUUAGGUUUGGUUACAUACAACAUUGUUCUACAAUGUACUCUUUUUACUUAUUAAUAUUGGUCAUGAUUCCAAACCAACACUUACUUCCAGGAGAUCUUUCUAAAGUACAAAUCUGGUCAGGUUGCUACCCUUGGGAAAAUUCUUCCAAGCCGCCCCUGCCCCCAAAGCCCUUCAUCUUCUGAUUCCCAUCUACUUUUUCCCUUUCCAGCACAUCCACACACAUCGUCUUCCUUAAAGCCAAACAGGCCAAGCAGAUCUAUUGGCAGUUCAUUCCCCAAAUAGCGAUGCUAAGCCAGCUCUUUGCCUUCGCACCAAUGUUUUUUCUGCCUUAAAGCCUAUUCUCACCUUUUUACUCAAAGUUAGCUCUUU